UUUGGUCAUUUGGCAUUAAUCACUUGAAAAAUUAUUAGCAAACUUUCCUCAGAAAGCCAUAGCAAUCUAUUCUUUUGCACAGGAAAUAAUGAUCGGCAUCAUGAGGUUCCACCCUUAACGUCAUUGAAACCUUUCCAUUGGACUAAAGGUACUUUAGUUUAGUAAAAUGUUCUUCACAUCAUUAAAGUGCAUUCCUGACUCCAGCCGACCUCAGGACCCAUACAGGGGUUAAUAUUUAGAGGUUAAUAUUAAGAGCAGUAAUUACUGGCUCUGGUGAGUGUUUGGAGAAGGACCAGGAAACAGUCAAAACCAAAACAGGAUACUGCGAGUCUUCCAGGAAAACAGUUAUCAUUAGAGAGAGGGACUCGAAGGGUGACGUCCGACCUUCAACUCACAGUGGAUGUGUUUUGGACCAAUUGCUGAUCAGGAGAAAUGGAAGAGACUUAGUGCUGCUGCAGUCUUCAAUAAAGUGUUUCUCUGUUGAGUGCUGCAAGUCUGGAUGGAGUCCAAGUAAAACAACAAAAACACAAACAGCUGUUUACGCGAGGCUAAGAAACAGGACUUUGCAUGUAAUGUUCCUUGCCAGCUUGAUGAAAAGUCUCGAUUGUGGUGCAUACCUUCUUAAUAUGAGCUGCAGAGUAAACUGUAAACCGUGGGUCAAACAUCAGCAUAAGGAGCUCCAGAGAUCAAACUAAUCUGCUUGAAAGGGUGAAAGGUCACAGAUUUUGGAGGAAUCGACAGACUGAUGGUAAACUACACGCUUCAGUCACUAGCGUCUCUCUCUCUCUGCAUUCCUCUGGUGUUAGGUAAGAACCUCUCUUGCCAACCCAAGUAAAAUUAUGUUUUCAAAUUUCCAUGAUUCAACUUCCUCAUCCUGGUCAUCGAGUCCAUAUACGGCUAAUUUCCAUUUCCCUGAUGUAAUCAGCCUCUGCUUGUUGUAAAUGGUUCUCGGUGCUUUCAGAUUCAUAUCACGCAAGUAAAUAACUGCACGUCUGUAAAAAUUGUGGAAUUUGUGGUGUUCUGAUGUGUUUGUUUGAGUGAUACGAGAUCAUUUCGGUUGA